rnacentral:rRNA from 1 species
CUAGCGACUUCAGAGUUGAUCCUGGCUCAGGACGAACGCUGGCGGCACGCCUAACACAUGCAAGUCGAACGGACGAGAGGUAGCUUGCUACUUCGAGUUAGUGGCGGACGGGUGAGUAACACGUGAGCAACCUGCCUUUAAGAGGGGGAUAGCUUCUGGAAACGGAUGGUAAUACCCCAUAACAUAUGCGGAUGGCAUCUUCUGCAUAUCAAAGAUUUAUCGCUUAGAGAUGGGCUCGCGUCUGAUUAGAUAGUUGGUGAGGUAACGGCUCACCAAGUCGACGAUCAGUAGCCGGACUGAGAGGUUGAACGGCCACAUUGGGACUGAGACACGGCCCAG